rnacentral:rRNA from 1 species
ACGGGGGGAGCAAGCGUUGUUCGGAUUUACUGGGCGUAAAGGGCGCGUAGGCGGUCGUGACAAGUCACUUGUGAAAUCUCCGGGCUUAACUCGGAACGGUCAAGUGAUACUGUCGGACUAGAGUACAGAAGGGGCAACUGGAAUUCUCGGUGUAGCGGUGAAAUGCGUAGAUAUCGAGAGGAACACCUGCGGCGAAGGCGGGUUGCUGGGCUGAUACUGACGCUGAGGCGCGAAAGCUAGGGGAGCGAACGGGA